CUGAAUGAUUAUAUUUUAUUUCAAAAUUCGUUUCUAAAAAUAUUUAAUUAUUUUUGCCACAUUUGGCAAAAAUUGUAAAAGGAAAUAAUGUCAUAGAAAUUUCAACAAAAAAAAAAGAAUGUCUGCAGAUGAAGAACCUCUCUUCCUAGUUCCACAGUCCUCUUUCUCUCUGUUCCUAGUUCCACAGUCAAUGAUGAAUCACAUUUUUCUGCCAAAGAGAAGUAUAAAAGUUUUCAGUUCCUUGUUGAAGGCAUUCCUGAUUAUGUUCUUGGUCAACAAGUUCGAUGCUGUUGGUCAGUGCCAGGUUCCCAUUAUAUUGUCCCC
rnacentral:lncRNA from 1 species